CCUACGGGAGGCAGCAGUGGGGGAUAUUGCACAAUGGGGGAAACCCUGAUGCAGCGACGCCGCGUGGGUGAAGAAGGGCCUCGGCGCGUAAAGCCCUGUCAGCAGGGAAGAAAAUGACGGUACCUGAAGAAGAAGCCCCGGCUAACUACGUGCCAGCAGCCGCGGUAAUACGUAGGGGGCAAGCGUUAUCCGGAUUUACUGGGUGUAAAGGGGGCGCAGACGGCGAUGCAAGCCAGGAGUGAAAGACCGGGGCCCAACCCCGGGACUGCUCUUGGAACUGCGUGGCUAGAGUGCAGGAGGGGCAGGCGGAAUUCCUGGUGUAGCGGUGAAAUGCGUAGAUAUCAGGAGGAACACCGGUGGCGAAGGCGGCCUGCUGGACUGCAACUGACGUUGAGGCCCGAAAGCGUGGGGAGCAAACAGGAUUAGAUACCCCAGUAGUC
rnacentral:rRNA from 1 species